rnacentral:lncRNA from 1 species
GAGGGGAGGGGCUGUGAUCCCACCUGGGUUGUUGUUUGCCCUGGGGCUUCUCAGUGCUGACUGACAGGUGGGGCCAGAUUUUCCCAAAAUGGCCACCUCCAGAGAAAGGCACUGCUGCUGAAUAUUCCCGAGAGCUUUGCUUCCAAUGUCCUUCCCUCACAACAAGCCACGUUCAUCCGUUUUCCCAGAUGUCCUCCAAGAACUGCGGUCAGGUUUGACCCAGAUUCCCAUGGAGACUUUGCUUUGCCCUGGGACCCAGUGCACAUGAACGUCUGUGUGCUCCUUUUAAGAAUGGGGUCUCCGUUUCUCCCAGUCCUGUGGAGCACCUGUGCACAAGCCCAACUGGCCUUCAAUGCCAGAUGCUCCGGGGCUUUCUCCCCGUUCCAGAUCCCCACAUGUGAGAGUUUGAUGUGGGGCUCAGAACUCUCACUCCUGUAGGUGAGUCUCUGUGAACCAAUAAAUUUCCAGUCUGUGGAGCUUCCCACCCAGGAAGGUAUGGGGUUGUUUAUAUCGUGAAAUUGCCCCUCCUACCUAUUGAUGUGUCCUCCUCUUUUUCUUCUGGAGUAGGAUAUCUUUUUUAAGGUUUCCGGUCCAUUUGGGUGAAGAGUGUUCAGUCUUUAGUUGUGAAUUUUGUUGUUUUUAGGAGAGAAGUUGAGCUCCAAUCCUUCUAUUCUGCCAUCCUAAUCCUGUCUCUCUUCUCUCUUUUUGUAAUUUUUAAGUAAUUUGUGGAAAUACACUUUAAGCCUGAAAAUAUCCUGUUCCUCAUCAAACUUCUAUCACUGAAUUUUAGCCUUGAUUGAUGAUUUUGGCAGAAUCAGUUACUAAGAUGGCUUCAAAAUGGUGAGUGAUUUUUCUAACUCCCAAGGUAUUCUUGUAUAAGCAGAUGCUUUCUUUUCAUUAUUUUUUUUCAUUUAAUUAUCAUUAUGGACUCUUAGAUUCUUAUUCUGUGAAUGUUGUUAUUAUCAUUUAUCUUGAUGCUCAGAUUGUACUAUAUUUGUCCUGAGCUCUUUCAAGCUAGCUCCUGUAUCUUCAUCAUUUUAAGCGUGCCUCCAUAAUUUCUGGCACAAGAUAUUCUAGCUGUCUUGUACUUUCCCUGCUUUAGCCCUGGAAUUGGCCUUUUAUCCAAGGAGAUGGGUAGAUGACAUGAAUGAUGGGCCCAAACCAAGAAGUGAAAUAGCAUCCUGACAAGACAGACGGGAUCUUUGGCCACACGCAGGCAAGAACUGCUUUCUGAGCAGUGGUGACAGUUGUGUUGUGACUACACCAGAGGGCCACGCUAGGCUUGACUUCAUUUAGAAAGGAUGAUAAUCACAGUGGAUGGGGAGUUCCCGUUGUGGCUCAGUGGUUAACAAAUCCGACUAGGAACCAUGAGGUUGUGGGUUCGGUCCCUGCCCUUGCUCAGUGGGUUAAGGAUCCAGCGUUGCUGUGAGCUGUGGUGUAGGUUGCAGACGCGGCUCGGAUCCUGAGUUGCUGUGGCUCUGGCAUUGGCCAGCACCUACAGCUCUGAUUCGACCCCUAGCCUGGGAACCUCCAUAUGCCGCGGGAGCGGCCCUAGAAAAGGCAAAAAGGGGAAGAAAAAAAUCACAAUGGAUGGGAGAAAAAGAACUGGUGGGAUGAGCGCGUUCUUAUUGGGAGACUACUCAGGUUUGGAACAAGCCCAGCAGACCCCGUGUGAGUCCUCCAAGAGGAACCAUUCAGAGAAGAGCCUAUCUGUGCUCUUGGGAGGAAGUGGGGAAGAAGGUGGGCCCAGGGCUGCUGCCGAGGACAGUGUAGGCUCAGGUGCUCUUCUAAGACCCAACUGGCUCUUAGGUGUUCUGGCCACACCACACCCACCCACCAUUCCCUGUAGUCAGGACCUCCUGUGGUUACAGGGGGUGGUGGCCUCAGCAGGACUUGGAGGCUUGGAUGAUGAAGUUGUAUUUGGUCCUUUUUUUUUUUUAAGUUGAAAUAUAGUUGAGUGACAGUGUUUUAGGUGUACAGCAAAGUUUAAUUCAGUUAUACACACGUGUGUGUGUGUGUGUGUGUGUGUGUAUAGAUUAUAGGUUAUUACAAGAUAAUUGAAUAUAGUUCCCUGCACUAUAUAGUAGGUCCUUGUUGUUGCCAGAGAGUAGAUGUCCUUGGGGGACUCCAGAAGGUAGCGAUACUAAGAAUGGGGUUGGGUAUGUAUCCUUGUCUCUCCAUCCAUGCAUCCAGCAUUUAGUGAGUUUGCUCUGUGUUGGGUAUAGAGGAUCAGCGAGGCUUGACCUCACAGGCCAUAAGGGAAGAGGGAGGAUCAAACAAAUGAACAGACUUUCCAUGCAGAGGAUUUGGUGCCACCAUUGGGGAUAACACAGAUGGGAGCAUGGAGUGGGGGCACGUGACUAAGAUCUGAAGGGAUCAGGGAAGGGGGUCCAUAGAACGGUGAUGAAGUAAGAUCUUGAAGUAUUGGGUAGGAUUUAGCCAGGGACAUAGACUUGGGCUUAAUUAAGGAAACAAUAAUCAGAUGGAAUAGGUCGUCUUGGGCAGGUCUGGCCUGCUGUGUGGGAGAGCCAGUCCUGCACCCUCACCCAGUGCAGGCUACUGCAGAGCAGUCUUCCCUAGCCACAGAAGAGCUAGCAUGAGCUGGGUGUUCUGUGUUCCUCCCAUUCUGCCUUCAGAUGACUUGGCAGAAGAUGGGCUGUGUGUGUGUCCCGGCUGCUGUUACAGAAGCCCUAGGUCACAGCCCCACUCACACCUCUCUGCCUACAAGUGCUUAACAUUUGGUAGGGAUCUUUCAUCUUCUGGGCCUUGGUAGGCAUCAGCACUCAGAACUCACUUCCUUCGGUAAAGAAGGGGCAGUAACCUCACCAAGUCAGUGCUUAAUAUACUGUUGAUGGGAUGUGGGGUUUAAGAUGAUUUUAGUGACAUGGGAAGUAUAUGAGCCUCUAUGAGGUUAUGCUAAUUAACUGCAGUAACAAAUUUCCCCCAGAUGUUUGUUUUUUCCUUUUUAUGGCCGCAUCCACAGCCUAUGGAAGUUCCUGGGCUAGGGGCCAAAUUGGAGCUGUAGAUGCCAGCCUACACCACAGCCACAGCAACCCCAGAUCCAAGUGACAUCUGUGACCUAUGCCACAACUUGUGACAAUGCUGGAUCCUUAACCCACCGAGUGAGGCCAGGGAUGGAACAUGCAUCUUCAUGGAUAUUAGUCAGGUUCUUAAUCCACUGAGCCACAAGAGGAACCCUCAAAUAUUUGGUUUAUUUGCUUGUGAUACUGUGGAUAUUUUCAUUAUAAUAGUGUAUUUUAAGACCACUAGCUUUUCACUUCAAGUAUUGUAAACAUUUUUUAUCUUUUUUUUUUUUUUCAGGGCUGCACCAACAGCAUAUGGAAGUUCCCAGGCUAGGGGUUGAAUUGGAGCUAUAGCUGCCGGCCUGUGCCACAGCUCAUGGCUAUGCCAGAUCUACUAAAUGAGGCCAGGGCUUAAACUUGCAUCCUCAUGGUUACUAGUUGGAUUCGUUUCCACUAUAUCCCAAAAGAACUCCUAAACAUUUCUUUUUGGUUAAGUGUUCUUGUAUAGGAUCCUGGGAUGGAAAAAGGACGCUAGGUAAUGACUAAGGAAAUCUGAAUAAACUAUGGACAUUAAUGAGCCAGUAGACAUAAUAUCAUUACCCAUCUGGUAAGGUUUUUUUGGGUUUUUUUUUUUUUUUUUUUGGUUUUUAGGGACGCGCCCAUGGCACAUGGCAGUUCCCAGGCUAGAGAUCAAAUCAGAGCUGUAGUCAUUGGGCUAAGCCACAGCAACUUGGGAUUCGAGCCGCAUCUGCGACCUACACCAGACCUCACGGCAAUGCCAGAUCCUUAACCUACUGAGCAAGGGCCAGGGAUCAAACCUGUAUCCUCACGGAUACUAGUUGCUUUCAUGAACCGCUAUGACACAAUGGGAACUCCUAUAAAAUAGGAUUUAAAAACAUUUAAGCACUUUGUUCUCAACUGACAUAAGGAUAUAGCAAAAACAAUAAGAUGCUGAGUGACUGAAGCUGGAGAAAAUGUGGCCAUGGAUCUGAAAACCCUUUGCAGACCAUCAAGCUACCCACACGAGGGACUUCGCUGUUGACAUUCACCAAACCCACAGGGCAUGCAGGACUGCAACUGCAGUCCCUGACUGAUGCUCGAGGAUACAGACCUUGGGAUUCGGAAUCUGUGGGAAGAGGCUGAGUGGACAAGAUGGCCCGGGGUCUCCUGUCUCUUUCAGGGGAAGCAGUGGUGCCUGGGGGAGGUGGCGCAGUGAUGGGACAGCAUCUAGUGCACAGGAACCUUCGCAUAGACCCAGACCCAGGAAAAGUCCCCCAAAAGUGCCUCUUUUAAAAUAUAGAAUUUUAUUUUGGUUACUGAAAUUUUCAUAAGCACUUGGUUCACAGAAAAGUCAUUUCUUACAAAAUAUCAAAAGGCAGCAUCUUGUACAGCGACUCACACUGGGGCCACAGAAAAGUGCAAAGGACAGUGAUGGGGGGAGAGAGGCCCAUGCUCUUGUGCUCAAAGUCCUCAGGGAAGCAGCCCAUGCUCCCAGCUCCCACGAGCCCCCACCCUUCCCCACCUGGGAGAGCAGCACCGGGGGCCCUGGCAGAACCAGCCUGGAAAGCCAGCUGUGAGGUGCAGGACAACGAUGCUACCAGGCUGGUGAGGCCCUGAGCGAAGGGCUGGGGACUGUUCUGGCUCAGCCGGGCCUGCAUCAGGCUUCAUUCCUUGAGCAGCGGGUCUGAACCUGCCUGGCCCUGGAACUUUGACACAUUCACAGUUUGGUUCAGCACAACCCUUUCUCCUCUCCUCACUCAGGCUGCUACCUCAGCCCUGGCCCUGGUCUGGGGACACAGAUGGUGACCCUCAGGGAGCUCAGGGCAGGAGAGUGGAACAGGAGGCAGAGGAGGGGGAGCAGUGCAUCUGGAGGGUGUCCAGUGUCGAGCCUGGAAGGAUGGGAGAACUUGGGUGUGUGCGGCUGGCAAGGAGGGUGCGCCUGGAAGAGGGGAGAGCGUGAGCCAAGGCACAGAGUGGGAAACCACGGGAGGGUCGGUAAAGGCAGGUCAGCAUCCAUGAGAACGUGGACACAGAUGGGGGCCUGGGGCACAUCCAUCGCCACCGGUGUAGGGCCCAGGAGGGCGGCUGGUUCGGGUGUGCUUGUGGGAUUUAAAUCCUCGGUGCGGCAGGCACUGAGCCUGCUUACCUCCUCCUGAGUUUGGGAGCAACUGGAGGGGAGAGUGGAGUUGGCUGCCCACACCACCCAGCCCAGCGCUGUGGGGAAGCUGCCUCCACCCAUGCCCUCCUGUUUCCAGCAUGUCCCUGUCAUCCCGGGGGCAGCCUGUCCCAAGCCCCCUCCAUGUCUGAGAGAAACCAAACCCAACUCCUCCCAUCUUGCAGCCAGCAGGGAGGGUGUGGCCGUGUCCCCAGAGGCUUGAGGACGAGGUCUGGGAAUGGGGAGAGUUAGGGGGCUCUUUCCGCCUCUCACUAGAAUCACUUUCUUCCCUUAGAAUGAAAGCCGUUCUUCCCUGAGCAGAGGCGGGGUUUGGUGUAUAAAGUACAGCUCCCUGUACCUUAACCGGAGACCCCUGCCCACCGUCUCCGUCUUGCUUCCCCCUAGCUCUUCAUACACUCUACGAGAGCUCGAGGGAGGGCCUGGGGACCCACCACCUUCUGUUUCCAUUUUCUCCUUGAAAAAUAAUGUCAAGUUCCUCCUGCUGAAGGUUUUGGAGGUACCUUGUGCUCAGUCCGCAGAAGACUCGGGGGCCUAUUUUUUUCCGGGUGGUGCUAAGAGGACGGAGGAGCCCAGCGCCUUCACAAGAGCUACUUCCAUCCUGGAGGCUGCAGCCUCAUAGCUCGGUGGGCAGGGCCCGAGCCUGAGAGCAGGGCAUGUGCUUGCUUCUGGAAUCUUCAGACAGCCCCUGAGCUGCCCCACCCUGUGGCUCUCCACUCUCACAGGAUCGUGCAGAAGAUGCUGCGUUUGCUGUGGUAGCCACCUUCCACGUGGGCGGUGAUCCUGGUCGCCAUGGCUGUCACCUUCUGCCCACUGUGGGCAGCAGAGGGGCCUCGGAGAGAGUUUUCAAGGUGAGGCCGGGCUGGUGGGUUCACAAGGCGCCACGUGUCAGACCUGGAGGUGCAAAAAUGAGAGGGAACUCUGAGCGUCUAGAGCAUGUGCUGAAUGCCCUGCACAACCGCAUCUUUGCCUCAAGAUCACUGGGUCCAGGUGUUUAAAUCUAGGGAGGUUGCAUCUCUACUUAAGUGAGAGCAGAAGGACAUGUAAUUCUAGUUCAAGCUCUCCCCUCAGUUCUGCAUGUAACCUUGGACUAAUUCCUUCUUGUCCUGGUUCCCCACCUUUAAACAAGGAUCUAGAUAAGACCAGUGGCUUUUGUUUUUUUCUUUCAUUCCCCCACCCUCAACUUUUUUUCCAGAUGUAUGAUCCUCGGCGUUAGACCAGCUUUAUUCAUAAUCACCCAAGUCUAGAAACUACCUAAAUAUCCUUCAGCUGAUGAAUGGAUAAACCAUGUGGUACAUCUGUACAACCGAGCACCACUCAGCGACAAAAAGAAUGAAUACCACAAGUGAACCCCAAAUGCACUGGGUUAAGGGUAAGAAGCCAGAUUUAGGAGUUCCCAUCGUGGCGCAGUGGAAACAAAUCCGACUAGGAACCAUGAGGUUGCCGGUUUCCUACCUGGCCUCGCUCAGUGGGUUAAGGAUCUGGCGUGGCUGUGAUGUAGGCUGGCAGCUACAGCUCUGAUUCAACUCCUAGCCUGGGAACCUCCAUAUGCCCCAAAAAGCAAAAAAAUAAAGCCAGAUGCC